CCUACGGGAGACAGCAGUGGGGAAUAUUGCACAAUGGGGGAAACCCUGAUGCAGCGACGCCGCGUGAGUGAAGAAGUAUUUCGGUAUGUAAAGCUCUAUCAGCAGGGAAGAAAAUGACGGUAUCUGAUUAAGAAGCGCCGGCUAACUACGUGCCAGCAGCCGCGGGAAUACGUAGGGGGCAAGCGUUAUCCGGAUUUACUGGGUGUAAAGGGAGCGUAGACGGCAGCACAAGUCUGGAGUGAAAUGCCGGGGCUUAACCCCGGAACUGCAUUGGAAACUGUGUAGCUAGAGUGCAGGAGAGGUAGGUGGAAUUCCUAGUGUAGCGGUGAAAUGCGUAGAUAUUAGGAGGAACACCAGUGGCGAAGGCGGCUUACUGGACUGUAACUGACGUUGAGGCUCGAAAGCGUGGGGAGCAAACAGGAUUAGAUACCCCAGUAGUC
rnacentral:rRNA from 1 species